CGCUGAGCCUGGUGCUUGCACCGGGUGGAUGAGUGGCGAACGGGUGAGUAACACGUGAGUAACCUGCCCCUGACUUCGGGAUAAGCCCGGGAAACUGGGUCUAAUACCGGAUACGACUGCCGGACGCAUGUCUGGUGGUGGAAAGUUUUUUCGGUUGGGGAUGGGCUCGCGGCCUAUCAGUUUGUUGGUGAGGUAAUGGCUCACCAAGACGACGACGGGUAGCCGGCCUGAGAGGGCGACCGGCCACACUGGGACUGAGACACGGCCCAGACUCCUACGGGAGGCAGCAGUGGGGAAUAUUGCACAAUGGGGGAAACCCUGAUGCAGCGACGCAGCGUGCGGGAUGACGGCCUUCGGGUUGUAAACCGCUUUCAGCAGGGAAGAAGCGCAAGUGACGGUACCUGCAGAAGAAGUACCGGCUAACUACGUGCCAGCAGCCGCGGUAAUACGUAGGGUACGAGCGUUGUCCGGAAUUAUUGGGCGUAAAGAGCUCGUAGGUGGUUGGUCACGUCUGCUGUGGAAACGCAACGCUUAACGUUGCGCGUGCAGUGGGUACGGGCUGACUAGAGUGCAGUAGGGGAGUCUGGAAUUCCUGGUGUAGCGGUGAAAUGCGCAGAUAUCAGGAGGAACACCGGUGGCGAAGGCGGGACUCUGGGCUGUAACUGACACUGAGGAGCGAAAGCAUGGGGAGCGAACAGGAUUAGAUACCCUGGUAGUCCAUGCCGUAAACGUUGGGCACUAGGUGUGGGGGGCAUUCCACGUUCUCCGCGCCGUAGCUAACGCAUUAAGUGCCCCGCCUGGGGAGUACGGUCGCAAGGCUAAAACUCAAAGGAAUUGACGGGGGCCCGCACAAGCGGCGGAGCAUGCGGAUUAAUUCGAUGCAACGCGAAGAACCUUACCAAGGCUUGACAUACACCGGACCGUCCUGGAAACAGGUCCUCUUCUUUGAAGCUGGUGUACAGGUGGUGCAUGGUUGUCGUCAGCUCGUGUCGUGAGAUGUUGGGUUAAGUCCCGCAACGAGCGCAACCCUCGUUCUAUGUUGCCAGCAUGUGAUGGUGGGAACUCAUAGGAGACUGCCGGGGUCAACUCGGAGGAAAGGUGGGGAUGACGUCAAAUCAUCAUGCCCUUUAUGUCUUGGGCUUCACGCAUGCUACAAUGGCUG
rnacentral:rRNA from 1 species